rnacentral:rRNA from 1 species
UGCAAGCCGAACGGUAAGUUUGAUAGCAAUAUUGAACCUAGAGUGGCGUAAGGGUGCGUAACACGUAUGCAAUCUACCCGCAACAGGAGGAUAGCUCCCCGAAAGGGGAAUUAACCCUCCAUGAGAUCACACGAGGGCAUCUGAGAGUGAUUAAAUCUGAGGAGGUUGUGGAUGAGCAUGCGACUGAUUAGCUAGUUGGCAGUGUAACGGACUACCAAGGCAAUGAUCAGUAGGGGAACUGAGAGGUUGAUCCCCCACACUGGCACUGAGAUACGGGCCAGACUCCUACGGGAGGCAGCAGUAGGGAAUAUUGGUCAAUGGGUGAGAGCCUGAACCAGCCAUGCCGCGUGCAGGAAGAAGGCCUUCUGGGUUGUAAACUGCUUUUGCCGGGGGAUAAAAGACCCUUGCGAGGGAAAUUGAAGGUACCUGGUGAAUAAGCCACGGCUAACUACGUGCCAGCAGCCGCGGUAAUACGUAGGUGGCAAGCGUUGUCCGGAUUUAUUGGGUUUAAAGGGUGCGUAGGCGGUUGAUUAAGUCAGUUGUGAAAUACGGCAGCUUAACUGUCGAGGUGCAAUUGAUACUGGUUGACUUGAGUACAGACGAGGUAGGCGGAAUUGACGGUGUAGCGGUGAAAUGCAUAGAUAUCGUCAAGAACACCGAUAGCGAAGGCAGCUUACUAGACUGUAACUGACGCUGAGGCACGAAAGUGUGGGGAUCAAACAGGAUUAGAUACCCUGGUAGUCCACACUGUAAACGAUGAUUACUCGAUGUUGGCGAUACACAGCCAGCGUCUUAGCAAAAGCGAUAAGUAAUCCACCUGGGG